rnacentral:rRNA from 1 species
AGAGUUUGAUCCUGGCUCAGGACGAACGCUGGCGGCGUGCCUAAUACAUGCAAGUAGAACGCUGAAGAGAGGAGCUUGCUCUUCUUGGAUGAGUUGCGAACGGGUGAGUAACGCGUAGGUAACCUGCCUUGUAGCGGGGGAUAACUAUUGGAAACGAUAGCUAAUACCGCAUAACAAUGGAUGACACAUGUCAUUUAUUUGAAAGGGGCAAUUGCUCCACUACAAGAUGGACCUGCGUUGUAUUAGCUAGUAGGUGAGGUAAUGGCUCACCUAGGCGACGAUACAUAGCCGACCUGAGAGGGUGAUCGGCCACACUGGGACUGAGACACGGCCCAGACUCCUACGGGAGGCAGCAGUAGGGAAUCUUCGGCAAUGGGGGCAACCCUGACCGAGCAACGCCGCGUGAGUGAAGAAGGUUUUCGGAUCGUAAAGCUCUGUUGUAAGUCAAGAACGGGUGUGAGAGUGGAAAGUUCACACUGUGACGGUAGCUUACCAGAAAGGGACGGCUAACUACGUGCCAGCAGCCGCGGUAAUACGUAGGUCCCGAGCGUUGUCCGGAUUUAUUGGGCGUAAAGCGAGCGCAGGCGGUUUGAUAAGUCUGAAGUUAAAGGCUGUGGCUCAACCAUAGUUCGCUUUGGAAACUGUCAAACUUGAGUGCAGAAGGGGAGAGUGGAAUUCCAUGUGUAGCGGUGAAAUGCGUAGAUAUAUGGAGGAACACCGGUGGCGAAAGCGGCUCUCUGGUCUGUAACUGACGCUGAGGCUCGAAAGCGUGGGGAGCGAACAGGAUUAGAUACCCUGGUAGUCCACGCCGUAAACGAUGAGUGCUAGGUGUUGGAUCCUUUCCGGGAUUCAGUGCCGCAGCUAACGCAUUAAGCACUCCGCCUGGGGAGUACGACCGCAAGGUUGAAACUCAAAGGAAUUGACGGGGGCCCGCACAAGCAGUGGAGUAUGUGGUUUAAUUCGACGCAACGCGAAGAACCUUACCAAGUCUUGACAUCCUGCGACGAUGCUAGAAAUAGUAUUUUCCUUCGGGACGCAGAGACAGGUGGUGCAUGGUUGUCGUCAGCUCGUGUCGUGAGAUGUUGGGUUAAG